GGUCAUUAAACCGUUUCAUUCCAGUGUUUUGUACCUGUGGCACAUCUAAAACCUGCAGGACAGCGACUGGAGGACUGGAGUUUGACACCCCUGCAUUAGGGGGCGCUGUAGCCUCAGUAACGGAUGUUGGGUUCUGAUGGAUCCGUUCCAGUCGAUGGUUCUGCCAGCAGCAGAUGGACUUCAGGAUAUCUGAACUAGAACUCUUUGAUUCUGAUCCGGUCAAGAUAUAAGCACACUCCUCCGGGACCUGAAAUGUACCAAGAGGUCCGAAACAUGACUUCCGGGCUUUUAUUUUGAAACUGUAGUGGUUCCGUUUCGGCGUCAUUGAUGAAGCUGGGGGUGAAAGGGUGGGUUCAUCUGGACUCUGGGCUUAUUUAACUCCAGAUAAGGUCCAAGUGGCCCUGCAGAACCUCUUCUUUGUCUCAUGUCUGUGGUUGGGAACCAGAGCCUGAAGAAAUACCAUGUUUAGGAAAAUGUUUCAGAACCAGGUAGAGCUGCGGCCAUAUUGGAGGAAGCUGACGAUGUUCAUGAAGGUAAAGUGUUGGCUAACUGCUGCAAGUCGGUUCGGUCCAGACUGACACGUGGUCCGCUGCAGACACGGUAACGAGCCUCACACAGAACCCGAACAGAACCGGAACCAAAUAUAGCUAGAACCGAAGUAGAAGCACUCGGAACCAGAACUACUGGUCCAUAAAGUCUGAGUGCUUCCAGAUUAAACGGUGAAAUUCUGGUUCAGAUUCCUGGAGAUCUUUCAACCUUUUCCACUUCCAAUCUGACCCAGUUAACCCAGUUAAACUCCAACUUCAGGUGUUCAUUUAAUGGGUUGAAAUAAUAUUUAUUUUUAUUAAAUCUUGUCGUAACUCAUAUUGACCAAGUAUUGAUGGUGCUGGGGGAAGUACGGACCUCCAGUAGCAGUCAGUUUAAAGAGGCCUCUGACUGAAGACAGUCUCGUGCUAACAUGCUAACAGCUGAACAUCCAGACAGCAGAGAUGCUUUUCCACAGUAAGCUCUGCAGGUGUGAUUCAUAAUUUAAGUGAUUUGGGGCGGUCGUCUCUCAGCUUCUUGGUCCGGAGGUUCUCAGAGAUCCAAGUUGCUGUUUGGGUUUUUCAAGGGUGUAAAUCCCAACUCAUUAUGGGGGAACCAUAAACAGGAAAAUUUCUUAAGACCAAUUUUGGGGGGUCGGCAAAGUUGCAGUGAAAUUUAAGUAAAAUGUAGUUUAGAAAGUUUUUAAACCACAUUCAAGCUGCAGGACCAAAAAUGACAAGUAAUGCACAUCAAACAUGUUUUAUUCUCAGUAAACAGCCUGCAGAGAAAUAAAACUAAAAUUCAAAUGUUGCUUAGAUACAGUUUGUUCAGUCUGAUCUAAUUUCUGCUACGCCUUUACAAACAUUUAAGGCUCUAAAU